UUGCCUCAUCAAGUAGCAUAAGUUCUGCCCUUCUUACAAGAGCCCGAGCUAUGGCAAUUCUCUGCUUCUGUCCACCGGAUAACUGCACUCCCCUCUCCCCUACAAAUGUUUUGUACCCAUCUGGCAAUCCUGAUAUGAAUUUAUGAGCAUUGGCUAAAGUAGCAGCUUCAAUGAUUUCUGCCUCUGUUGCUGAUUCAUGACCGUAGGCAAUGUUUUCGUAAAUGGUAGCUGCAAAGAGACAUGGCUCCUGAGGGACCAUGGCAAUGUGCUUUCUCAGGGACUUGAGGUU
rnacentral:misc_RNA from 1 species